rnacentral:rRNA from 1 species
ACGCACGCUGGCGGCAUGCCUCACACAUGCCAGUCGCACGAGACCUUCGGGUCUAGUGGCGCACGGGUGCGUAACGCGUGGGAACCUGCCUUUAGGUUCGGAAUAACUCAGAGAAAUUUGAGCUAAUACCGGAUGAUGUCUUCGGACCAAAGAUUUAUCGCCUUUAGAUGGGCCCGCGUUGGAUUAGCUAGUUGGUGGGGUAAAGGCCUACCAAGGCGACGAUCCAUAGCUGGUCUGAGAGGAUGAUCAGCCACACUGGGACUGAGACACGGCCCAGACUCCUACGGGAGGCAGCAGUGGGGAAUAUUGGACAAUGGGCGAAAGCCUGAUCCAGCAAUGCCGCGUGAGUGAUGAAGGCCUUAGGGUUGUAAAGCUCUUUUACCCGAGAUGAUAAUGACAGUAUCGGGAGAAUAAGCUCCGGCUAACUCCGUG